rnacentral:rRNA from 1 species
UAUUGCUCUUGAACGAGGAAUCCCGACUAGGCGUGGUGUCUACCUGGGGCUGAGUACGUCCCUGCCCUUUGCACACACCGCCCGUCGCUACUACCGAUUGAAUGGCUUACUGAGGCCUUUGGAUUGAAGGCGGAGUCUGGCGACACACCUGUUUUUGAGAAGUUGGUCAAACUUGGUCAUUUAGAGGAAGUAAAAGUCGUAACAAGGUUUCCGUAGGUGAACCUGCGGAAGGAUCAUUACCAAUCUCUAGUGAGCCUGGCAUCGUCCACGGUCUCGCUAAACCCUUGUAUUUAAAACCCGCUCAUAUAAUUAUAACAUGUAUUAUCACGAUAAAAGUUACGAUCGCGUUGGUCACCCGAUCUCUGGCCUCUCCCCUCGCUGAAGAACGUACCCCCGCUCCUUAAGUUAUGUGAAUUUCCUUUCUCCGUGAAUCAUCCAAUUUUUGAACGCAAAUUGCACUCUCUGGUACUCCUGGGAGUAUGCCAGUUUGAGGGUCGGUUUAUACCGACCCCAAAUGUCUCUUUUGUGACGAUUCGGAAUUGGGUUAUCUUACCCUUCGGGUUAAGAGACUUGAAAUUAAUAAUUUUUUACCCAUCCUUGACGUGUAUAAUUUAUUUAUCCGUUUCCGGGUGCCUACUUUACUAUGUAUGGUCAUGCUGUAUGAUAUCAUGGCUAUAAGUCUAAUUGAGUGAACUCAAAUCAAGUAGAAAUACCCGCUGAACUUAAGCAUAUCAAUAAGCGGAGGA